CUAUGCGCCUUGCCAGCCCGCUCAGGUGUGCCAGCCGCCGCGGUAAUACGUAGGUGGCAAGCGUUAUCCGGAUUUAUUGGGCGUAAAGCGAGCGCAGGCGGUUGCUUAGGUCUGAUGUGAAAGCCUUCGGCUUAACCGAAGAAGUGCAUCGGAAACCGGGCGACUUGAGUGCAGAAGAGGACAGUGGAACUCCAUGUGUAGCGGUGGAAUGCGUAGAUAUAUGGAAGAACACCAGUGGCGAAGGCGGCUGUCUGGUCUGCAACUGACGUUGAGGCCCGAAAGCGUGGGGAGCAAACAGG
rnacentral:rRNA from 1 species